CAAUCUGGUUGAUCCUGCCAGUGGUAUAUGCUUGUCUCAAAGACUAAGCCAUGCAAGUGCCUGUAUGAGUGAUUAUAUAACGAAACUGCGAAUGGCUCGGUAAAACAGCAAAAAUUUCUUCGGGGGGAAUACUACCGGAUAACCGUAGUAAAGCUAGAGCUAAUACGAUGUGCUAUCAAGGCAGAAGCAAUUCUGUGGUACAAAGUUUUAGAUACAACCCAGUUUAACUGGUGAUUCAUACUUUUUCCUCUGUUCGCACCGUUUGUUGGUGCGACGCCCCGAUCAAAUUUCUGACCUAUCAACUAUGAUGGUAAGGUAGUGUCUUACCAUGGUUGUGACGGGUAACGGAAUGUGGGUGCAUGAUUCCGGAGAGGGAGCCUGAGAAACGGCUACUACAUCCAAGGAAGGCAGCAGGCGCGCAAAUUACCCAAUCCGAACUUCGGGAGGUAGUGACAAGCAAUAGCAAUAGGGGGACCAAUGGUCUUCCUAGUUGGAAUGAAAACAAUUUAAAACACUUAUUGAGGAGCCAGCAGAGGGCAAGUCUGGUGCCAGCAGCCGCGGUAAUUCCAGCUCUGUAAGCGUAUACCAAAGUUGUUGCAGUUAAAACGCUCGUAGUCGAAGCUUGGCGGUUGCUGCAGAGGCUCCGUAAGGAGACUGAUGUAGUGCCGUCUUUGUGGAACGGAGGUGGCGGUGGGGUACUUAAUUGUAUUUUGCUGCAAUUCUUCCACCACUUUUUACUGUGAAAAAAUUAGAGUGUUCAAAGCAAGCGAUUGCCCUGAAUACAUUAGCAUGGAAUAAUAGAAUAGGACCUGGUCCUGUUUUAUUGGUUUGUCAGUAUCAGGUAAUGAUUAAGAGGGACGGUCGGGGGCAUUUGUAUUCCAGGGUUAGAGGUGAAAUUCUUAGAUCCUUGGAAGACAAACAGCUGCGAAAGCGUCUGCCAAGGACGUUUUCAUUGAUCAAGAACGAAAGUAAGGGGAUCGAAGACGAUCAGAUACCGUCGUAGUCUUUACUAUAAACGAUGAGGCCUGGGGAUCGGACGUGGCAUAUUUUUUUGGUACGUUCGGCACCCUCCGGGAAACCAAAGUUUUUGCUUUCUGGGGGGAGUAUGGUCGCAAGUCUGAAACUUAAAGGAAUUGACGGAAGGGCAUCACCGGGUGUGGAGCCUGCGGCUUAAUUUGACUCAACACGGGAAAACUUACCAGGUCCAGACAUAGUGAGGAUUGACAGACUGAGAGCUCUUUCUUGAUUUUAUGGUUGGUGGUGCAUGGCCGUUCUUAGUUGGUGGAUUGAUCUGUCUGGUUAAUUCCGUUAACGAGCGAGACCUGGGCGUAUUAAAUAGAACAUGCUAUUCUCGUAAUAGCCAAAAUUUGUUGACAUUCUUCUUAGACGGACAGUAGGCUUUUAGCCUAUGGAAGCUCCAGGCAAUAACAGGUCUGAGAUGCCCUUAGAUGUUCUGGGCCGCACGCGUGCUACACUGAACGGAUCAACGGGUGAGAUACUGCGAAAGCAGGCUCCAAUCUCUAAAUCCGUUCGUGCUGGGGAUAGAAGCUUGCAAUUAUCCUUCUUGAACGAGGAAUACCUUGUAAGCGUGAGUCAUCAUCUCGCGCUGAAUACGUCCCUGCCCUUUGUACACACCGCCCGUCGCUCCUACCGAUUGAGUGGUCCGGUGAGGCUUUGGGAGGGUUGAAUGGAAUGUGUUUCUCACAAUCCGUUUGGCCUAAACUUAGUCAAACCUUAUCACUUAGAGGAAGGAGAAGUCGUAACAAGGUUUCCGUAGGUGAACCUGCGGAAGGAUCAUU
rnacentral:rRNA from 1 species